rnacentral:rRNA from 1 species
CGGCCAGACUCCUACGGGAGGCAGCAGUGAGGAAUAUUGGUCAAUGGGCGGGAGCCUGAACCAGCCAAGUCGCGUGAGGGAAGAAGGUACUGAGUAUUGUAAACCUCUUUUGCCAGGGGACAAAGGCGGCCACGGGUGGCCGUAAGAGGGUACCUGGAGAAAAAGCAUCGGCUAACUCCGUGCCAGCAGCCGCGGUAAUACGGAGGAUGCGAGCGUUAUCCGGAUUUAUUGGGUUUAAAGGGUGCGUAGGCGGUAUUUUAAGUUAGUGGUAAAACGUCGGGGCUUCACCUUGAUUGGCCAUUAAAACUGGAGUACUAGAGUACAGACGAGGUAGGCGGAAUAAGUUAAGUAGCGGUGAAAUGCUUAGAUAUAACUUAGAACCCCGAUAGCGAAGGCAGCUUACCAGACUGUUACUGACGCUGAAGCACGAGAGCGUGGGUAGCGAACAGGAUUAGAUACCCGAGUAC